AGCUAAAUUCACUACAGUAUAUACAAUUUUAUAGUAAUGACAUCAUUUUUAUUAUAAAUUUAAUAUAGGAAAGAGGAAUUAAUUUACUAAGCCUGAGGGCAAUUAAUCCUUGUAAAUAUGCACUGGAGCUAAUGGACGCCAUAUUUUCAGUAGAAGAAAUAGCAACUCACUGCUUUGAAGGAACUGAAAGGGCUACUAAACUUCCUUUAAAUAAGGAAAAAGUCUCUUUAUUAUACGAUUGCAUCAAGGAGAAGUUUGGAUGGGAGAAGUACUAUGACUACAGAAAUUACAUAAUUUAUUAUUGAUUUUUGAAGAUGAUGUUUUAAUGUGAUUUGAUUUAAUUAUACAAGAUCAUAUAACAAUGAUCUUACAGGA